rnacentral:rRNA from 1 species
AUUGAACGCUGGCGGCAUGCCUUACACAUGCAAGUCGAACGGCAGCACGGGAGCAAUCCUGGUGGCGAGUGACGAACGGGUGAGUAAUAUAUCGGAACGUGCCCAGUCGUGGGGAUAACGUAGCGAAAGCUACGCUAAUACCGCAUACGAUCUAUGGAUGAAAGCGGGGGAUCGCAAGACCUCGCGCGAUUGGAGCGGCCGAUAUCAGAUUAGGUAGUUGGUGAGGUAAAGGCUCACCAAGCCGACGAUCUGUAGCUGGUCUGAGAGGACGACCAGCCACACUGGGACUGAGACACGGCCCAGACUCCUACGGGAGGCAGCAGUGGGGAAUUUUUGGACAAUGGGCGCAAGCCUGAUCCAGCAAUGCCGCGUGCAGGAUGAAGGCCUU